rnacentral:sRNA from 1 species
UGGCCGUGUUCGCCAUAACACUCACGGCAAGGGUGCGCAAGCGGUCAGGCGCGAACCGCGCUUGUAUACCGGGAAUCCCCUGCAGUUCCGGCAAAGCGCAGAUGACAGCAGAGAUUUCAAGGAGGAGUAGCCGUUGGACACGGGAGAUAUGGUAGUUAUAGAGGAGGUCACCAUUGAAACAGUCGAAAAUGACGGUGAGAGGGUUGAUGAUGCAAUUUAUGGCCAGCUUUUCGAGUUGGUGUUGGAGGAAAGUGUCCGAAGGAACUGCGGCGGCGACUAGCUGGGUGUUACGGGUUAAGACCCGUAUUAGG